UAUGUGACACACCGAAGUGUUCUUCUUUUCCGGAGAAGACAGGACACCAUUCAAGAUCAGCUAGACAAACUAACUGGCCCAAUGAUGACACAAACAUCACAUUUUCUUUUCCUGCGCCUGUUGAUCAUGAUUCCAAUUUCUAUGGUGACUGUGGGCACAGCCUCAGAGGAGCCCUGUGUGUUCCCCUUCCACUAUAAGGGCAGUACGUAUAGUGACUGCACCACUAAGGACG